rnacentral:lncRNA from 1 species
ACAACCAGCUAAUUGAAUCACAUUGAUUAACAUAACUAGCCACUUGAAUGCUGCUGAUCAACACAACCAGUCACUUGAAUUCACUUUCCAUAGAGAUCGAAGACUAUACAUACGAGAGAUCUUGACAAAAUAUGUGUCUCACUUAAGGGGUCAAAUCAUCCUAACAAGAUCUAGGAUUUCAAAUUCGGCAUCACAAAAUCGACACGGACAGAAAGAAACAAUGAAAUUUGGGCUUUGUGUUUGGUACCUUUUUUUUCUUUCCAGAUUUACGGUUUCUAACAUCCAAACCAGAUCUAGGGUUUCAAAUUCAACAUCACAAAAUUGACAUGGAUAGAAAGAAACCAUGAAAUUAGCGUUUUGUGUACCAUAACUCUUUUUUUAGAUUUAGGGUUUUUGACCGUACGAUUGAUGAGGACCCUUGUAUGGUCAAUCACAUCAUUAGGGUUUUGAAAAAAAUCCCGAGGUCUCGUGCUUGAUAUCAAGUUAAAAAUACAACAAUCAAGUGGAUAAGUGAUGAAGAAGAAGAGUAGGAAAUAUUCUAGGAAGAGAAAAAGCUUUAGAGAUAGAAGGUUAAAGAUUUUUAUCUAAUAAUAUUUAUUUAUAGUAUUAUGUUGCCCUUAUUGAAAAAUAAAAAGCUUUAGAGAUUGAAGGUUAAAGCUUUUUCUUAUUGAAAAAUAAAAAGCUUUAGAGUUAUGUUGCCCUUAUUGAAGGGAUACAAAAAAUAAGUCC